GCGUCAACCGGGAUGUGGUGCAACGGUCAGCAUACGCUUCCGGAAAGAGAGAUCUGGGUUCGAAUCCCGGCUGACGCA